UGCCGUGCAUCUUCUUCAGGCCAUUCUUGUUGUGCUUCUUGGCAAAGUGUAUGUUCCUCAGGAACUUGGGGUCUGCCCCCUUAAGAGACUCAUAUCUUUGUUACUGGGUCUUACAAACAUCACAGAGCCCACUUCAAAUCCUCUGUCUC